CCCUUAGAUGUCCUGGGCCGUACGCGUGCUACACUGACGCCUACAGCGAGUACUUCCCAGCCCCGAGAGGUGGCUGGUAAUCAGCAAUAGGCGUCGUGAUGGGGAUAGAUCUUUGGAAUUAUGGAUCUUGAACGAGGAAUGCCUAGUAAGCGCAGGUCAUUAGCCUGCGCUGAUUAAGUCCCUGCCCUUUGUACACACCGCCCGUCGCUCCUACCGAUUUCGAGUGGUCCGGUGAAUCUUUCGGACUGCGCGCGGCCUCGUGCCGUGUCGCGGAAAGUCAGGUAAACCUUAUCACUUAGAGGAAGGAGAAGUCGUAACA
rnacentral:rRNA from 1 species